rnacentral:rRNA from 1 species
UCGAGAAUCUUCUGCAAUGGACGCAAGUCUGACAGGGCGACGCCGCGUGUAGGAUGAAGGCCUUCGGGUUGUAAACUACUGUUGCACCUUACGAACCCCCGGGAGUGAAUAGCUCUCCGGGAUGACCAGGGUGUGAGGAAGCACAGGCUAACUCCGUGCCAGCAGCCGCGGUAAUACGGAGUGUGCAAGCGUUACUCGGAAUCACUGGGCAUAAAGCGCGCGUAGGCGGGCUUUCAAGUCGGUUGUGAAAUCCCUCAGCUCAACUGAGGAACUGCAUCCGAUACUGUCUGUCUUGAGGACGAGAGGGGAGAGUGGAACUUCUGGUGGAGCGGUGAAAUGCGUAGAUAUCAGAAGGAACGCCGGUGGCGAAAGCGACUCUCUGGCUCGUAUCUGACGCUGAGGCGCGAAAGCUUGGGUAGCAAACGGGAUUAGAUACCCGCGUAGUCC